UGGGCACGCGGGGACGGGGUGCAGCAGGCGCGAAACCUCUACAAUGCACGCAAGUGUGAUAGGGGGACCCUGAGUGCUCAGCUAUGCUGGGCUUUUGUUAAGAGUAAAAAUCUUGGCGAAUAAGUGGUGGGUAAGACGGGUGCCAGCCGCCGCGGUAACACCCGCGCCACAAGUGGCAAUCGGUAUUAUUGGGCCUAAAGCGUCCGUAGCAGGUCUUGUAAAUCUUUUGUGAAAUUGUUGCGCUUAGCGUAACAGCGUGCAAGAGACACUGCAAGACUUGGGACCGGGAGGAGUCAGAGGUAUUUCAUGGGGAGCGGUAAAAUGCUAUAAUCCACGAAGGACCACCUAUGGCGAAGGCAUCUGACUAGAACGGAUCCGACUGUGAGGGACGAAAGCUAGGGGAGCGAACCGGAUUAGAUAUUGGGGUUCUCGUCGAGAAAUUCUUGUUUGUUCGCUAACAAACAAAACUAAAUGAGAAUGAAAAUCGAGAACAUACCCCACUAAAUACCCGAGUAGUCCUAGCUGUAAACUCUGCGAGCUAGGUGUUGCAUAAUCUUCGAGAUUGUGCAGUAUCGAAGCGAAGGUGUUAAGCUCGCCGCCUGGGAAGUACGGUCGCAAGGCUGAAACUUAAAGGAAUUGGCGGGGGAGCACUACAAGGGGUGCGGCGUGCGGUUUAAUCUAACUUUACCCAGAGAAUCUCACCAGAAGCGACGGCACAAUGAAAGUCAGAUUGAAGGUUUUACUUGAGGAGCCGAGAGGUGGUGCAUGGCCGCCGUCAGCUCGUGCCGUGAGGUGUCCAGCUAAGCCUGGUAACGAGCGAGACCUGCGUCCACAAUUGCUAACAGGAGCUUUUGCUUGACUGAGCACAUUGUGGGGACUGCCUUGGAAACGAGGAGGAAGGUGCAGACUACGGUAGGUCUGUAUGCCCCGAAUCUUCUGGGCUACACGCGCGCAACAAUGGUAAGGACAAUGGGCUACGACUCCGAAAGGAGAAGUUAAUCCUCGAAACCUUAUCCAAGUCCAGAUUGAGGGUUGUAACCCACCCUCAUGACGAUGGAAUCCCUAGUAAUCGGAAGUUAUCAGCUUCCGGUGAAUACGUCCCUGCUCCUUGCACGAAUUCGCCGA
rnacentral:rRNA from 1 species